rnacentral:rRNA from 1 species
CAGCAGCCACGGGAAUACGGAGGGUGCAAGCGUUAAUCGGAAUUACUGGGCGUAAAGCGCACGCAGGCGGUUUGUUAAGUCAGAUGUGAAAUCCCCGAGCUUAACUUGGGAACUGCAUUUGAAACUGGCAAGCUAGAGUCUUGUAGAGGGGGGUAGAAUUCCAGGUGUAGCGGUGAAAUGCGUAGAGAUCUGGAGGAAUACCGGUGGCGAAGGCGGCCCCCUGGACAAAGACUGACGCUCAGGUGCGAAAGCGUGGGGAGCAAACAGGAUUAGAUACCCGCGUAGUCCCUGUCUCUUAUAC